UACAGAGGGUGCGAGCGUUAAUCGGAAUUACUGGGCGUAAAGCGCGCGUAGGCGGCUUUGCAAGUCGGGUGUGAAAUCCCCAAGCUUAACUUGGGAACUGCAUUCGAGACUGCAUUGCUAGAGUAUGGGAGAGGGAAGUGGAAUUUCCGGUGUAGCGGUGAAAUGCGCAGAUAUCGGGAGGAACACCGGUGGCGAAGGCGGUUCUCUGGGGCCACUACUGACGUGAGAAAGCGAAAAGCAUGGGGGAGCGAAACAGGG
rnacentral:rRNA from 1 species